rnacentral:misc_RNA from 1 species
GAUGAAGAACGCAGCGAAAUGCGAUAAGUAGUGUGAAUUGCAGAAUUCAGUGAAUCAUCGAAUCUUUGAACGCACAUUGCGCCCGCUAGUAUUCUGGCGGGCAUGCCUGUCCGAGCGUCAUUUCAACCCUCAAGCCCCUGGGCUUGGUGUUGGGGAUCGGCGAGCCUCCGCGCCCGCCGUCCCCUAAAUCUAGUGGCGGUCUCGCUGUAGCUUCCUCUGCGUAGUAGCACACCUCGCACUGGGAAACAGCGCGGCCACGCCGUUAAACCCCCAACUUCUGAACGUUUGACCUCGGAUCAGGUAGGAAUACCCGCUGAACUUAAGCAUAUCAAUAAGCGGAGGA